AUGCCUCGGGAGGAGCCGCCGGCGGCCGAGGUCUCGGAGACGGGGGAGAAGGAGGACGGGCAGCCGGAGGAGCAGGAGGAGAGGUGGGCGCGCCUUCUGCCGGAGCUCCUCUCGGAGGUGGUGCGCCGCGUCGAGGCGUCCGGCGGCGAGCGCUGGCCGGCCCGCAAGGACGUGGUCUCCUGCGCCUGCGUCUGCCGCCGAUGGCGCGACGCCGCCGUCGCCGUCGUGCGGCCGCCCGCGGUGUCCGGAAAGAUCACCUUCCCGUCCUCGCUCAAGCAGCCAGGGCCAAGGGAGUUCCCAAUGCAGUGUUUUAUCAAGCGGAAUAAGAAGAACUCUACGUUCUACCUCUACCUUGGCUUGACAACUGCUACUGUAGAUAAAGGGAAGUUUCUCAUGGCUGCAAGAAGGUUUAGGCGUGGCCCCCAUACCGAGUACAUUAUAUCCCUUGAUGCUGACGACUUGUCACAAGGGAGCAAUGCAUAUAUGGGGAAACUGAGAUCUGAUUUUUGGGGAACAAACUUCAAAGUAUAUGAUAGCAAGCCACCACAUGAUGGCGCUAAAGCAUCAAGUAGUCGAUCUAGUCGGCGUUUCGGAAGCAGAAGAAUCAGCCCCCAAGUAUCGGCGGGCAACUAUGAAGUCGGGCAGCUUUCAUACAAAUACAACCUGCUCAAAUCCCGAGGCCCCAGGAGGAUGUAUUGUGCACUCGAGUGCCCUUCACCUCAAGAGACCUGGGAAAACUCCCUCAAGACGAAGUUUCGGAAGCCCAUGGGUACCACGGUUUUAAGAAACAAAGCUCCCCGCUGGCAUGAGCACCUGCAGUGCUGGUGCUUGAACUUCCACGGGCGGGUAACAGUUGCGUCCGUCAAGAAUUUCCAGCUGUCCGUUGCCGCUGACCCCAAUGACCCUACUGGCUCCAGGGACGAGGAGACGGUGCUGCUGCAGUUUGGUAAGGUCGACGACGACAUCUUCACGAUGGAUUAUCGGCAGCCUCUGUCGGCAUUUCAGGCCUUUGCCAUCAGCCUCAGCAGCUUUGGCACCAAGCUAGCUUGUGAAUAG
rnacentral:rRNA from 1 species